AUUGAACGCUGGCGGCAGGCCUAACACAUGCAAGUCGAACGGUAACAGGAAGCAGCUUGCUGCUUUGCUGACGAGUGGCGGACGGGUGGGUAAUGUCUGGGAAACUGCCUGAUGGAGGGGGAUAAAUACUGGAAACGGUAGCUAAUACCGCAUAACGUCGCAAGACCAAAGAGGGGGACCUUCGGGCCUCUUGCCAUCGGAUGUGCCCAGAUGGGAUUAGCGAGUAGGUGGGGUAACGGCUCACCUAUGCGACGAUCCUAAGCUGGUCUGAGAGGAUGACCCGCCACACUGGAACUGAGACACGGUCCAGACUCCGACAGGAGGAAGCAGUGGGGAAUAUUGCACAAUGGGCGCAAGCCUGAUGCAGCAAUGCCGCGUGUAUGAAGAAGGACUUCGGGUUCUAAAGUACUUUCAGCGGGGAGGAAGGGAGUAAAGUUAAUACCUUUGCUCAUUGACGUUACCCGCAGAAGAAGCACCGGCUAACUCCGUG
rnacentral:rRNA from 1 species